rnacentral:tRNA from 1 species
AGGCGCAGGUCAGCGUAUGUGCGCCCCAACGGACUCUUAAUCCGUAGGUUCAGGGUUCGAUUCCCUGGCGACCCA